CCUCCUUCCACUUUUUCCCUCCGUGGCUCUCUGUGGUUCCGGGCUGGGAGUCACCACAGCCGUGUGAUUCCUCCCUUGUCACCGGCCCAGAGCCGGCCCCGCGGGCCCGGCCCCGCUUCCUGGCAACAAAAUACAGGGAAAACCCUAAACAGUUCCUCGAUAUAAGGAAAAACCCGGGAGUUUUGCCGGGAUCCCAUUCCCGGGGCUCUCCCGCUCCGCACCGGACACGGACACGAGUGACACGGCCCGGGGGGGGGGGAAGAUGCGGGGCGGCGGAUCCCGGGAUGCUUCCCGCGGGGGGUGUAUGGCCCGGGAUGGGAGGUCCGGGGGCCGGUCUUAGUGAGGGCCGGAGCGGGUGGGUCUAUAUCCGUGCCCAUGUCCGUGUCCCCGUCCCCGCUCAGCCGUGGCGGGUCACAUCCCGCCGGCAAGAGCCGCUCGGCGACUAAUGGGCUCUCAAUAAUUCAUAACAGCCCGGCCGGCUCGUAAUGCAGCUCUGCGCGCUCGCCAAUUACUUGUCAUUAAAGGCCUGUCGCCCCUGCAGGGAGGGGGACGAGAGUGGGAUGAAGGGCCCUGUCUUGCGGCCACCUCGGAGCAUCCCUCCGGGGGAAGCCGAACCACAGCCCCGUACCCCGCACCGGGGCCGGGCAGCGUCCCCCGCUCCCUGCAGGGGAAUGGGGGGGUCACUGCUUUUUGCCCGCGACCUCCCUCUGUUUUCCCUCCUCUCCCUGUAGCCGAGUACCCCCAGCUCCUUUAGCACCCCCCGUCUCCGGGUCUCAUUUCUCCCGUUAACAGCGGGGCUGAGCGCUCGGCUCCGUUUCGGUCGUUAAUUGCCCCCAAAUCCGCCUUUAUUUUGCAGGGGGACCGAGGGGCAGCAGUGGCGUUGGUGAGGGCUGAGCUGGAUUGGGCCGGGGAGGGGGGAACAGGUCUGAGCCCCCAGAUGAGCCCCUAUCCAUCCUUCACUCAUAUAUAUUUAUGCAUAUAUAUAUAUAUGGGGUUCAUUAUUAUUUUUCCUGACUUCCCAUUCACCGAGAGGUGGGAAAAACAUUUAUUUAGUUGCUCGCCCCCCCAGUGUCAUUCAGCGAUGGCCAUGGAAGCACAAAGGAGGUGGCACAGCUCGGGUGGGGAGCGUUAAGAAGGGCUCGCUGCCCGCUCCCAAACCUGCCCCCUCGGCGGGAUAACCGCGGGAUAAGUGCGGGAUAACUCUCCGCUGCCUGCCCUGCCCAUGGACUGUGGGCAGAAAGUGCGUUUAUUGAUGAUCUUUUAAAACCCAACUCAACCCGGGACCGGACAACUCGGGGGUGAGAUGAGUCUAAUUAUUGCUGGUUCUAAAAAGAGCUGGAACACCCAAGUAGGGCUUAACUCGUCUCCUGGGAAACUGAUGGAGACCUAUUUUACAAGCUGUAAUUCUGCUUUAGACUAUUGCAGGCUAAAGGCAGUUCACACUGUCCUCUUUCUUCUAGAAAUAGUCCUAAUCCUGUAUUUCGGCCGGGUAAAGUCCGCUUCUGCUCCGCACUAGAUUAAUCCAGAAACCACAUAAAACCAGCCCCUUUCCAGGGGAGAGGAGUCGUUUCCCUGGCCGGGCACAGCGCAGCCAGGUGAGGCAGCCCCGAUGCCACUUGGAUGGGCACCGGCGGAGCACCGCAGCAGCGGGUCCCUCCUCCUGGUCCCCGCUGGCCACGGGCUCCUUGUUUCAAUAAACCAAGGGGCAGGAAAGCCCCUGACACAUCGCUCGCUGCAGGUAACACGGAUUUCUGCAGCAGGGAGAGCUCUACCUGCCCGAACUGCCUACCACCGAUGCCAGCGUGUAAGGUGCUCUCCCUGUGGCUUCCUGCUGGUUUUGCCUCACACCAGCAGUAAAAAGAAUGAUCCUCAUCUCUCCACGGCUGGAAAACAGCUGCAAACAGCACGGGGGAGCGGGAAUGCGGUGAUUUUACUUCCCACCCUGUAUUGAACGCAUCGAGAUUGAAGGAUUUUGGAGACCCUGAAAUGUUUUGUGUGUCACUGUCAGCUGCGGGGCUUCACCAUCUGCCUGCACUUACUCCCCCCCCCCAUUUGUUGUGAUAAUGGCACAAGAAAUCAGUGUCGGGGGGAGCUGGGGCAAACUUCUGGGCUCCCCCGAGCGUGCUGCUGCCGUGUACAGAUCCCUUAUUAAAGCCACAGAUUCCCAUCUC